UUGCUUUGACAGCACAUAUAUUAAAAUUGGAAUGAUACAGAGAAGAUUAGCAUGGCCCUGCGCAAGGAUGAGAACCAAAUUUGUGAAGUGUUCCAUAUUUAA